UACGGGGGGGGCAAGCGUUGUUCGGAAUUACUGGGCGUAAAGGGCUUGUAGGUGGCCAACUAAGUCAGACGUGAAAUCCCUCAGCUUAACUGGGGAACUGCGUCUGAUACUGGAUGGCUUGAGUUUGGGAGAGGGAUGCGGAAUUCCAGGUGUAGCGGUGAAAUGCGUAGAUAUCUGCAGGAACACCCGUGGCGAAAGCGGCGCGCUGGACCACUACUGACGCUGAGGAACGAAAGCUAGGGGAGCAAACAGG
rnacentral:rRNA from 1 species